rnacentral:lncRNA from 1 species
GGUGAAGAAGCGCCGAGGCUGGGAGUAGGGGCCUCAUUUGAUGGAGACGGUGGGCUGGAGGCCGAAGGUGAUAGUGCUGGAGACUUAGCUUUGGUCUUGCUAGGGGCCGGAGCUGGAACCGUGGCAGGAGGAGAAGCCAAAGGAGCUGGUGGUGGGGUAGCUGGAGGAGGAGUAGCAGGAGGGGGAGAAGCAGGUGGUGGGGUAGCCGGAGGUGGAGAAGCCGGUGGGGGAGUUGCGGGAGGUGGAGUAGCCGGGGGAGGAGAAGCUGGUGGUGGGGAGCUAACGGGCGGGGGAGUCGCUGGAGGAGGAGUGGAAACUGGUGGUGGUGAUGAAGUAGGAGGAGGAGAGGAAGCUGGUGGCGGAGAAGUAGUUGUGGGUGUUGGAGGUGGUUGAGUAGUAGGUGGAGGUGUGGAAGCGGGUGGAGUCGGCGGCGCCGGCGUGGAUGUCGGAGGAUUACUAGGAGUAGGAGGAGCUUGGCCUAAAACGCCAGCUACAGCAAUGCAAAACAAAGCUGAUAAGAACAAAAACUUAUUAUUAAGCAUCAUAUUGGAAACAAUGGUGACCCUUUAAUCCUGCACACCCUCUCCGCUUAAACUACGCCCAGCCGUGCAAGCAAAUGAGGGAGAAGAAGAGGCAAGUAUGAGAAAUGAAAAGAUGGUGAUAUUUAUAUAUAGGAUAUGGAAAUUUCCAUAUCAUAUUUCAAUUUAAAAUCCCCAAAACAAAUACCAGCAUUUUUAUUUUAUUACUAAUGGGAAAAUUGCAUUACUAAUCAUAUACAAUAUUCUAUAUUAAUUUAGUGUAAUUUAAUUCUUUCAUUUUUUUAUAAUGUUAUUAAUAGGUCCAAAAUCAAUAUCUCCGAUCGUUAGUUGCUGUCAUUAAAGUGAUGAUACGAAAUUAUUUUUUUUACUAUUAUUCCAUCAUACAAUCAGAGAUAUAGAAAUCAAUCAAUUUUGUUAAACAAAUAAUAAAUUUCAAUCUGAGUCAAAUGCUUAAAGUUGUUAAAAAAAAUUCACGUCAUCACUUUAACAACAUCAACUAAUAGCGUUAUCAAUUUGUACUUUGUAGCUACCAAUAACAUUAUAAAAAUAAAGGGUCAAAUUAUAUAGAAGUAAAGGAUUAAAUCUCUAAUUUCAAUUUAGUAAAGGGACUAAAAUGGAAUUAAACCUAUUAGUGGGGGUCGGAGUUUUUUCCUCGUUUGGUGAGGUAAAAAAAAAAAAAAACCCUAGUGGGGCAUAGUUAUAAUGUCACUUUGAUGAUUAUAAAUGAUGCGUUAGUUAGUCAUACUUUAGGUAAAAAACUGUGAGGUGGGAUUAGUGUAGAUUGAAAAUUUUUAGUGAAGGGGUUAAUUUAUACCUUCAAAAUUUUGCAAUAUUUGGUAGUUCCAUGAAAUAUUCCCCGCUAUUUAUCAACUUUUCAAUCACUCAAAUAGGUUUUAAUUUAGUUUUGUUGUGAAAUUUCUAAUUCAAGCAUACAAUGAGUAGAUUUUAUUAUGGGUCGGGUCGGGUUAUUAUAAAAUUUUAGGUGUAACGUCCCGAAUUUUUGGGCCUAGAAGUUAAAAGAUUUAAGCAUAGGGGCAGUAAGGAGGCCACACAUAAGUGAUUAGUUGUGCACUAUAGUGAUAAGAAUGGGCUUAUUAGUCUAGUGGUUAAAUGGAGUGUUAAUUAAGUUCAAGGUUUUUGGUUUGAGUCACUAUGUGUACAUUUUGGGAGUCUUUUUAUUUUGUUUUUUUUUAGUUAGUGAUAAUAAUUAAUUAUUUUAUUUUAUUUUUAUUAUUUUUCUUUUCUUUUCCACGUUAGUUCUCUCUACUUCUUGGUUUUUUUUUCUUUUUGUUCUUUUUCCUUGGACUUUCAAUUUGUGCAUUCUCUAUGUUUUUGAAUCGUUUGCUUACAGAUUUCGAAUUGUCGCACCUCUAUCGUCUUCUUCGUCGUUCAAUCAGGUGAGGGAUUCAAACUUUAACUACAUUGUUUAAUUUUGCAAAGUUUACGUGCGGCUUUUCUUGAAUAUGUGAUAACCCGAAGGUUUUUGGGUUUUGAUCGUUGGAAGUGAGGAAAAUACGUUAUAUUGUGAUAUGUUCUUGAUGUGGUUAAGGUUAGGGACAGUUUGGGUGGCUAAAACGGUGUUUUCGGGGCUAAUUUGGGGUGGUUUCAUGACCUCUCCGGCAGCUACACGGGCGUGUGCCGUGGUAGACAGUCAUAUGGAUUUGGGAACUAGGGUUUCCAGGCCAAAUUGGAUGCCACACGGCCGUGUGGCCGAUUUGGGGAUUUUGUCGAAAUUCACACGGCUGUGUCCCCUAGGCACAUGGGCAUGUGGGUUUGGAAUUAGGGUUUCAGAGAUUUGAAGUCACACAGCCUGGCCAUACGGCUGUGUGGCUGAUUUUGGGAUUUAGGGAUCCCACACGAGUGUGUGUUUCGUAACACACAACCAUGUCUAGUUGGCACACGGGCAUGUGAGACCCUCACAUAGCCGUGUCUGCCCUGCACCUUAUUUUAGCGAAAUUGGACAGUGAGUUACACAGCCUGUUCACACAGUCGUGUCUCUGCUUCGCACGGGCGUGUGCCUAUGUCACAUGGCCGUGUGCUAUCCUUCACAAGGGCGUUUGAAGCCUCACACGAUCUGGAUUGCUCUACACGGCUGAAGCAUACGGGUGUGUAGCCCUAUCUCGCCAAAUAAUGAUUUUAGGUCAAAUUUAAGUGCAAUCGUGACUCUAUGUAUUCCAACCCUCGACUGAGCUCUAGUGAGGGUAUUUACGACGCUGAUCUGAGUUUGGAUAAUGUGUUAAUUGUGAUUGGUUAUGUGACAUGUUUGAUUCUGAACCCGGGUUAGCUGGGUGAGUGUGUAUGCAACUAGUUCUGUCUGACUGUUUGAAUACGUGUCAUUGAUAUGCGAGCUUAUUUUGCAAUUGCUACUGAAUUCAAGUUACGAGUAUACUUAAGACUAAUUUUGUAACUAACUGAUUGGAUGUGAGCGUCUACUUCUGAAUAAUUGUUUGAGACUAGUAUUCUGAUUGUGUACAUCUGACUGCAUACAUACAUACAUAUGCAUAAACUAUUUUGGGCGGGAUUUUUGAAGAGAAGGUGUUGUAGGCCAAUUUUGGGCCCGUUUACACUUUAGGCCGAACAUACAUCAAACCCAUUUACAAUUAAACCCCAGCAUAACCCACAACCCAAACCCAACAAAUAAACCCAAAACCAAACCCAAAUUUAACCCAAUUCAAAUCCCAUAGACCCAAACCCACAUGUAAGCCCAAGUUGUUAGACCCAACUAGCUUGAUUUAGGGUUUCAAAAAAACUGAAACCCUAACCUACCCCCAGCGCCGCCAACGUCACAUCGCCCAUGCCAGUCCACUUGCACUACCUUUGCUCCACUGUUCAACCACCACCUGCAAAACAAAAGAGCACGCAACAGCAGCGCAAAAAUAGGAAAUAGACAGUGUAUGAACAACAAAAUCGGCUAUAAAGCCGAAUGGAAACCAAUGUAAUAGAAAAUAUUUUCGGUUAUUUUCUUCAUCAAUACAAAAAAAUAGAUUUAAACAUAUACAAGCAAUAAUUCGGGGAAAAUCAAAACACUAGAAUAACACCAAUUGGGCAACCAAAACAUCAAUAUCAAAAGCCUAAGGUGAUUUAAAUCUUUUUAUUUUUAUUUAUUUUUGAAUCAUACAUACCUAUGUAUUUUCAUAAAUAGUAUAAUAAAAAGGAAAAUAAAAGAAUAAAAAAAAGAUAGGAAAUUUUUACCUUUUCCGGCCACCGUGCGACGGUGGCACACGGCGGUCCGGCAACCAGACGUGGACGGCGACCGGCCUUGUGGCCGGAAUUCGCCUCUCCUUCUCCCCUCUCUCUUUUUUUUCUUUGCUAUGCAGAAAAUGAAUUUUUUUUGAAGAUUUUGGCCUUUUUAUAGCUUCCUAAAACGACGUCGUUUUGGGGGUUGCCCUUUAACCUCAAAACGACGUCGUUUUGCCCUGGAUCAGGUCGACCCGACCCUACCCACUCAGGAUCUGAGUGUUUUUGCUCUUAGGGGCUAAUUGCGCACGCGGUCCUUCCGCUUUUUCUAUGUUUUUCAAUCAGGUUUUUUAUGUAUUUUAAUUUGGCCCUAUAAUUAGUUGCGCUUUCCAAUUUGGUCCUCAAUGCUAUUGCGCAUUUUGGGUGGAGAGGCUUAUUUCGUUUUAAGUCCCUCCACUAUUUGUGCGCGUUGAAAUAGGUCCCCUUCCCUUCUUUUUAUUUCAGUUUUUGCCCCAAGCCUUUUAUUUUUAAUUCGAUUCGAUCCUUUUUUUAAUUACUUUAUUAUUAAAAUUAAUUAUUUUAGUAUUAUUGUUAUUAGCACUAUUCAUGUACAUAUAUAUUAUCAUUAUUGUUACUAUUACUAUUAUUAAUCUUCAUAUUAUUACUAUUAUUUCUUUAUUUUUAUAUUAUAUUAUAUUAUAUUAUUAGUUUUUACUAUUAUUAGUAUUAGUUUUAGCUUCAAUUAAUAUUUUUAACAUGCAUAUUUAUAUACUUUUAUGUAACAUUAUUAAUAAUUAUUUUUUAAAAUAUUAUUAUUAUUUUUUAAUACAUGCAUAUAUAUUAUGUGUAUAUUCUUUUAAUAGACAUUAUGUAUAUAUAAUUUUAUAUAUUAUUUUUAACUUUACAUUAUGUAUAUAUUGUUAAUAUCAUAUUAUUCAUAUAUUCUAUUAUAUUAUAUAACUAUAUUAUGUAUGUAUUUUUAACACUAUAUUACGUACAUACUUUCAAUAUCAUUAUUAUUAUGUAUAUAUAUUUUUAAUAUAUAUAUGUGUAUAUUUAUGUAGUAUUAUUAAUAGUUGUUUUUAAUAUUAUGAUUAUUUCUAGUAUAUAUAUAUUAUGUAUAUACUUCUAAUACUAUAUAUUGUAUAUUUCUAAUACCAUUAUUAUUUAUAUGUGUAUAUGUGUAUGUAUUUAUGUAUCGUAUUAUAGUUGUUGUUUUUUUUGUAUCAUUAUUGUUGCUAAUAUAUAUAUAUCAUGUAUAUAUGAUUUUUUUUAUAUAUAUUAUGUAUAUAUCUUUAAUAUUAUAUUAUUUAUAUAUUUAUGCUUACAUAUUAUCUUACGUAUAUAUUUUUAAUAACUAUAUUAUGUAUAUACUAUUACUAUAUAUCUAUUUAUGUUGCAUUAUCAAUGGUUGUUUUUACUAUUAUUAUUAUUCUUAAUAUAUAUAUUAUGUAUACAUUUUUAAAUACUAUAUUAUAUACAUAUAUUUUUAAUACCAUAUAUGUACAUAUCAUUAUUAUAUCUAUUUUUACCCCUAUUACAUUUGUUAUUAAUAUUAGUAUAUAUUUUAUUAUACGUGUAUAUAUAUACUUUUUAAUAUAGUAUUAUUUUUAUAUAUCAUUAUAUUUAUUAUUAUACUUAUUAUUUUCGCUAUUGUUACUUAUUAUUUUAUUUUAAUAUUAUUGUGUAUUAUUUGGUAUACAUAUAUCUUUUUGUACAUAUUGUUAUUUUUUAUUAUACGUAUAUUAGUUUAUUAUGGUAUUAAUACAUUUUUACCUUUUUCUUUUAUUGUAAAUAUUAUUUAUUAUUACUCUAAUAUCCUAAUAUUAUAUUAUAAUACUUUUUAUUAAUCAUCUCAUUAUUUUGCAUCGUUUAUUUACUUAUGAAUUUUUGUUAACAUCAUCAGUUUUUUUUUAUCAUUAUUUUAGAAACAUUUUUAUUUUAAUAAAUAAUGCAACGUACCGAUUUUAACAUUAAGUUUGUGAUUUCAUCGCUAUGUUGGGUGAAUCACGUUGGCUCGUGUUAAAAACGGGACAUCCUUCAAAAAAACCAAAAACUUGAAAUUUCUCGUGUCUUGGUCGGAUCAUGAUUAAAUAUUAAAUUAAACUUGUAUUUUUGAAAAUUAAGACAACGCGUAAUUAACAAGAUACUAAUUUUGGGCGUCGUGAGGGUGCUAAUACCUUCCUCGCGUGUAACCGACUCCCGAACUCUAUUUUCCUCUGGAUUUUCACGUAGACCCAAAUUCGGCCUUCAUUUUUGUUCAAGAAUAAAUUUUCUUUUCUAAAAAGAAGAUUUAUUAGGUGUCUGAUCACACCUAGAAAAAAGAUCGGUGGCGACUCCUUUUCUUUUUAAAACCGAAAUUCCAUUUUCAAAUAAUCGCCUCAACUAGCGACCGGAAAGUGAAAUUUUUACGUUGCUACAGAAGGAAGAUUGACUGAACUGAACUGAUAGCUAAUAUGUUGCCCCUAAUACCCAGAGGGUCAUGGGCGGUCCCAAUACCCUGAGGAUCGUGGUUAAUUUGACUGUACUGCGGACUAUCGCACUGUACUGUACAGAACAUACAUCAGCACCGCUGCUAUCAUUGACUAAACUGGCAAUUUUACUGCAACCUAACGAUAUAGCGGUCUACCGCAUUGCAUUGUACCGCAUGUACGUUAGCUACGCUACGUACUAUUAUCUGAUCUGGCAGUUCAUACUGCAUGUCUGUACCGCGGUUCACCGCAUUGCACAGUACAACCUAUACGCUGGCUUUCCUACGUAAUUUACGUGACUAGCAGUUUAUCUGCAUACUGUUAGCCCAAAUUCCCAGAGGGUCGAUGGCAAUCCCAAUACCCUGAGGGUCAUGGACAAUGCUGAUGAUCAUCGUUGUCGGGUAACCCGGGAUGACAUCAUAUGGGGUGUAGGGUUGGAUGGGCUUUGCGAGGUCCUGUAUGGAGUGUUUGGUGGGACAAGCUUAAAGCUUUUAUGAGAAGUGAUGGGGGACGGAGAGGUGUGUUGGCUGGAUAGGUGGAUAUUUUUAGAACUCAUUUGUACUCAUAUGUAUCUGAUUGAUCUGUUUAACUGAAUUGGAACUUGUGAAUGGUUGAGAAUUAUUGCUACUGUGACUGAAUGUGAUACUGUUCGAUUGAGAGGCACUUGUGCCUAUGUGAAUUUUGUAGAUUCUGAUUGCGACUGUCUGACUGGAUUCUUACUGUGACUGAUUAAGAUUUGUUGCUACUCUGUCUGAGUGGUACUUGUGGCUGAGUGUAUCUAACUGAUUGAGUUAAAACUAGUGGCAGAAUAGCACUAUGUUUGUGUAGCUGAGUGUAAUUUUUAAUAUGCAUUAACAAAUAUCUGUCUGUCGGUACGUCCGUUUCGAACGUACCCUUUGGUUCUGAAUAGCUCUGUAAGUAUGUUUUAUUUCUGAACUGCUUUUAGUUCCCUGUUUCUGUCUCUGUAGUUUAACUGGUUUGAUCUCAAACUGAGCUCGAGUAGCUCACCCCCUCUUUCGUUUCCCUUUUCAGGUACAAUUCUGGAUUAUGUUGAUGGACUUGGCACGCGAAGGUCUCAGACAGUCUCGCAAACAAAUAAAUUAUCAGUUUUGUUUUCCGUUACGAUUUUGUUAUUUGGUUAACUUUGAACUGUAAGGCUUUAUAAUACUGUGGUACAGUUUCCAUUUUAGAUUUUCAUGCAUACGUUUAUUUUGGGUUUUAUAUUGAGUCUUACUGUAAAUUUUAUUGACUGAUUAUUAAAUGGUUUUAAACACUUUUGGUUCACUGAGAUGAGUUAUUUUGUAAAAUUUUCCUACGAUCACUUCGGUGAUCAAUGUAGCAUUCCGAAUUCGGUCUAGACUUUUAGGCCGAGUUUGAGGUGUUACAUUAGGUUUAUUUUUUAGGUUCUAAUUUGACUCGAAAAAUAGGUCUAAAAUUUUAACUAAACCCAGUUUAGAUAAAAAUAUUAAACCCAAGUCCAAACGUAUUAAACUUUUUAUAUUAUUAUUUAUAAAAAAACAAAUUUAAAAAAUAUAAUACAUCAAAUACACUAAAAAUAUUAAAAUAGAUGUUUCCUAAUAAAUUGAAAAUACAUUAAAAAAGUUUUUAUACUUAACAAGCAAAUGCCUUUAAAAUAGUAGCAAAAUUAACAAGCCCAUGAUUAGGUCUAAUGAUGAGUUCUUUUGUUAGUAAUGUUUAUUUUGGUAUUUGAGUUUUUUCUGUCUUAAUUUGGUACUUAAUUUUGACUUUAAUUUUUUUCCAAUUAAGCACUUAAGUUUGGCUUCAAUGUUCAAUUUGGUACCUAAUUUUUUUUGUCCAAAUUAAUUACCUAUAUAUUUUUUACCAAAGCAUGUGUGUCAAACAUUUAUUGGAUCAUAUGAUGACAUUUGGCUUAGGUAUCAAAUUGAAUAUCAAAUUCAAACCUAAGUACUAAAUUGAAACAAAAAACACAAAUACUAACUUAAGUAUUAAAGCUAAACUCAAGUAUCAAAUUGUAUAUUAAUCAUUGGUAAACAAAAUUUCAAGGAUUAGCAUCUACUAAGCUUUCAUUUUCCCUUUUGCAUGUUACAAUUGAUAUUUGUUUAACGCAUAAACUUGGUAUCUUUUUUCCCGUAAUGAUCCAUUUUCAACAAUUUUUGUACACCUAUAUUAAAAUCUGAAAUAAUUUGGUUAUCUUCAACAUACAUAAAGCUGUUAUAUUAAAGUUUAUUUAUAGUUGAGAUUUUUAAAGGAUUUUUAUAAGAUAUUUUUUACACAUUCUUUCCAUGACAUUAAGGAGUAGGGAAGAAAACGUGGUAGUGUUAAAAGGAUCAGUUCAUCUAAACAAGCGGAAAGUCAAAAUAAGAAACAAAUUAAGGAGGAGUAGGGGACUCACACAUCCAUAACAUAUGCAUAUGUUAAUAUUAAAAAUUUACACAACGCAAUUGUAAAUGGUGAGACUUGGACUUCGAUACUUAAAGACCCAAGAUAUCGCCUUAACCAAUAAUGUCAACAAGAUCUCAUUAACUUUUUAGGAAUUUUCUUAACUUCACAUAUAGGGAUUAAAAAAUUACGAUAUAACUCAAUAUAAUAUUAAAGAGUAAAAGUUAAUCAAAAUUUACAUAUAUCACUCAUUUAAUCAUAUGUGUACAGAUAAAAGGAAGCCACUCAUCCUCUUGCCAACCCUACGUGUAACAUAAUUCACUAUAAAUUCCACCUACAUAUACAUACAUACAUAAAUAUAAAAGAGAAUUUCAUGGUCUUGGACUAGAUUGGCUACAAAAUUUGACAAACGGCAUGUGUAGGAGGAUUAAAUUCGAUGAAUUGCAUGAGAGUUUCUCCUUUUUGAUAAUUUAGUACAUGAGAGAAUAAUGAUGAUUGUGGGGGGGGGGGGGUGCUCCAUCGAAAUAGCUGGAAUUUAUUUAUUUUAGUGAACUGGCAAAUGUAAUUUGUACGCCAAGUUAUAAGGUGAAAAAGGGAGAAAUCAUAUAGAUUUGGUUGGUAAUGGUAUGUUGAUGUUGGAACACCUGCGGUGCACCGCCACAAUUAGUAGGCCCCUAGCCCCGCUGUCACCCCAUCAUAUGUGCUUUUGGAUGGAUCCAACAUUUUCGUGUUCUUUCAUUCUUCAACAUCAUCAUUAUUAAUUAGUUACUCUUCAAUUUCUAUAUGUAAUUUGCUUUCUUUUCAUUCAUAGGUUUUCUGUUUUCUGUCUUUGAUUUUGUCUUGUGCACAACUGAUGUCCUCCAUUUUUUUCCCCUUUUGUAGAAUUGGGUUUGUCACUUUAAUAGUGCCCGAAAUUAUUUUAUGGAUUUUUUUCAUCAUAUCAUUUAUAAUCUAUUUUUAGUUAUUUAAUGAUAUUUUAGUAAUUUUUUUAUGUUAUUGACACAUAAUUUUACUAAUUUUUUUACCCAGAACCCUCAAUCUUGAGUUUAGAAUCUUGAACCCCGAACCUUGAACCCUAAACUCAAACAUUAAACUCCAAACCUAAACCUUAAAUCUUGAAACCCUCAAGGUUUAGGUUUGAGGUUUAAGUUCAAAUUCAAGUUUGUAGUUCAGGGUUCGAGGUUUGAAAUUUAAGGUUCGGGUUCAGGGUCAGAGUUCAACAUUCAGGAUUCUAGGUUUGGGGUUUAAGAUAAAAAAAAAUUACCAAAAUUAUAUGUCAAUGACAUGAAAAAAAAAUUACUGAAAUGUCAUUAAAUAAUUAGAAAGGGACCAUGGAUGAUGUGGUGGGAAUGGUCCAAAAAUAAUUUCUCAUUUGUAUGGGAUAUUAUUCAUUAUCUAUUAUAAUUUGAUAUCUCUAUUUUUAUAAUAUUAUUAGGGGAAAGGAUUGUAUGAAACAGUGACGCCAUGUCAUCUGUAUCCCUUUCCAAUAAUUUUAUGCCAUAUCAUUACUUUUAUCCUCAAUUUCAGGAUUUUAUCCUGAAAAAAAUCAAAUCCAAAUUAAAAUCCUGAAAUUCAGGAUAAGAAUAUUGAUGUGGCAUAAAACUAUUGGAAAGGGAUACAGAUGACGUGGCGUCACUGUUUCAUACAAUCCUUUCUCUGUCCAAAUUUAUAACAAUGUUGAUUGCUUCACUAAAAUGAGAAGGUCCAAAAGAGUUAGAAGAUGUUAUUGAGAUUAAUAAAGGAGUAAUUUAUUUCGAGAUAGAUUAAUAUAAUUUAUUUGUGUUUUUUAUUUAAAAAAAAAAGUAAAAGGACGUAGUAAAGGAAUUUUCAUGCAUCAAUAAUUUAUUAUUUAAACUAUGAAAUUUCAAAAAAGAAGAAAUUCAUGUUGAAAUUGAUACUAUCAAGCAAUUUAAAAGUGUAAAAAUUUCAGUAUCAGCUGGAUAUUUAAUGUCAAAUAAACUAAAGAAAUGAGAAACACAAGCCAAUUGUCCACAAUGAUUAACUUGUUCCUAAAAAGAAAGUUGUACAUAGACUUUGCUUAUAAAUCAAUCCAAUUUUUUUUUAUAUAAAAGGAAACAUAUUACAUACUUAUAUUGAGUUAUUUGUACCACAACCCACUUAAAUUAUGAUUUUAAUUUUCGAUUGAGUCUUAGUUCAAUUGAUAUUGGCAUUAUUAUCUGUGGAGGAGUGGAUUCAAGUGCGCUGAAACGCAUUAUCCUUCUAUUUAAAUGUUGGGAAGGAACUAUAGAUUCGAAAGCAGAUAUGAUAAGAACCUAUAAUAAAAUUAAUGUAAUGCCUCCUUUUUCCUUUAAAUCCUACUUAAAACACACUUACUUAUUAUUUGCUAAAAUAUUGACAAAUCUAUAAUUUGAAUUCGAACAUUUAUAAUUCAAUCUUGGUCCCUUUAAUACAAAAAAUGUUGGCUUCACCCUUGAUCAAUUUAGUCAUCAAGUUUUUUUUUUUUAACAUAAAUUUCAAUAUAGAUUCUUAUCAUAUUAGCUCUUUUUGAUACAAUGCUUAUAACUAUCCAUAGCCCUUCCCCAAUCAUUAAAUAGUAGGAUAAUACACUUUAACGUAUUCGAAUCCACAUCCUCUUCUACUGACAACAAUGUCAAUCAAUACAAUUUUAAAUACGAGUGUACUACUUAGAUAAUCAUAUCCAAGGUACACAUACUUUUAAAAUUUGAUCCACACACUUUAAAUAUACCCCACCUCUGAUCUAAUCUAGCAUUUAUCACCUAAGCUGACGGUUAGAGGAACAAAAGAACUUGAUUGAUAUAAUAUCAAUAUUUUAUAGACUCAAUCGUACCAUAAUUAUGGACGUUUUCGCUGAGUUAACUCUAUAUCUAAAUAAGUCAUGGUAAACAUUCAAUAUUAAAAAAGAUAAAGGGAAAGUAUAAUAACCCAAAACACCAAAUUUUGGUUGGUUUAAUUUGCAGCUUUAACCAAUGCUUUUGCAUGAUCCAUCAAUUAGUGAGGAUUUUGAUCUUAAUUGGAGGGUCCCAUUCGGUUAUUAAGCUCUUUUUCCACCCUCAUGAUUGCCAUAACAUGGGCCCUUACCGUUUUACUUUGGAUACCCUUUUAUCUUUGCUUUGCUUUGCUUUGAUUUAAGGUUUUAUACAUAAAUGGUCACUUAAACUAUACCUCAAUUUUUAGAUUUGUCCUUAAAGUUUUUUUUUUAUCAAGAGUGGCCCCCACACUAUCAAAUUUAUCUCAUUUUACCCAAAAAGCGUACAAUAUCCAAUAAAAAUAUUUAAAAUGUGACGCGUGUCACAUUCUUAUUGGUUAAUAUCAUUUUUUGAAUAAACAAAAAUAAAAUUAACAGUUUAGCGAUCACUUUGACCAAAUAAAAAAGUUUUAAGGACUACUUUAGGAAUUUAGAUAUAACUUAAGAGUUAUUUUAUUAAUAAAGCUUUGAUUUAUUCAUCAAUUAACACUGAAAGAGUUUUCCUUAAUUUACUCAAAUGGUCUUUUUGUUUGUAUCACCUAACAUUUUGAAGAACAUCCUUUCUCUGUGUACCUCAUACAAUUCGUUAAUACGAAAAUUUUAUGAUUUUUUUAAAAAUAAAUUUAAUUGUCACGUUGCAGGUUACAAAUACUUUUAAAUAAGGGCUUUUUUCAUACAAGAAUACCAAUUAAAAAAUAUCUUCAAAGGUAUAUCAGUUAUACUCAGAUCAAAAUGUUUAAACUUAAUUUAUCUAAUUUCUUCGGCAGGGACCUAACCCAAAAUUGGUAAAAUUAAAAUUAGAUCUUUAUAAUUUUGAAGCAUUAAAAUUGAAUUUUUUUUAAAUUGUAAAAUUAUAAAUUUAGCCCCUAAAAAAAUUAUAAUUCAACUUCAGCCUCUAAAAUUUUUUCCUCUAACUUCAUCUCCCCAUAAUUCAAUAUAUUUAAAAAAAUUUGUGACUGACAUUACCAACAAAAAAUAUAUUUAUAAUUAGUAUUUAAUAUACAAUUAAUGAAAUGUUUUAAUUCUAUAAGCAAUGUUCAAAAUUUUCAUAUAUCUCAAUUUUUAAUAUUUUUUUUAUUAAAUCAUGAAUGAAAUAUAUAUUACCUUUCAGAUUUUACUUGUAGAGUCUAAUAACUAUAUGACGCAUUAAAUCAUUAUACAUAUAUAAGGUCAAGUGGUCCAUAGGUAGCUUAGAGUACAAGGGAUUAAGUUGAGGGUCUCUUAUCAUUUUCCCCAAAUGUGAAGUGAUGUUAACUGCUUAGCUUUCUCCUCUUGCCCCAUUCAUUUUCCUUCCUUUCCACAAUAUAUAUUGUAUAAGUAUUUAUGGGUAAUCGAUUGAGUAUUUACUCGAUUAAUAUGAGUAUUAAUGUCAAUAGAGGAGGACGUAGAUUUGGCGCAUUAUUCUUCUAAUCAUGGGUUGAGAGGCUAUGAGUAGUUUUAAAUAUUAUGUCCAAAAAAAACAGAUAUGAUUAGAACCUAUAAUAAGAUUAUUUAAAAAAAUAUUUAUGGGUAAUCAGUUUAUACAAUUUCGAUUAAAUGUAUAAAUCCAAUCAUUAAUCAUUAAAUUGUUUUACUUUAUGCCAUAGUAUUGUUUUAACUGCAUAAGCAUGUGGGUUAAUGAAAACUACUUAUAGUAUCUCAAUUAAAUGUAAUCAACAACCUCAACUCAUAUCUCCCAUCUCUCUCACUCUCAAUUAUAUAACCUAUUAAUAAUUAACAUUAAUAACCCACUUUCAAGUAGAUCUCAGGCUACCUGCCAUGCCAAGCCUAAAGCUUAUAAGAUGCUUGAAAAGGUUUGCACAAAUAUACAAGAAUAAGUAGGAUAAUGGUUUGGGCAAAAAUUAAGCUUAAUUAUUUAAAUUAUAGAUUAAAUUUAUCGAUAAAUCAUGUUAAGCGUAAUGAUAAGAUAUAUUAUACUCUUAAGAAAAGAAUGUAGAUUCAAAUACUAGAAACGAUAUUGUUAGGAAAAGUAAUCACAAAUCUCAAACAUGAAUCAUAAAAUAAACAUAUAAAAUACUAAAAAAAAUCGAAUUUAAACUCAUUUAAAAUUGUUGAAACAUGGAUAAUUUAACUCAAUAUUGCAACAGGAAUUUCGAUAUAGUUUCUAUAAAAUUUAGUGUUACAAUAUGAUUUCCCAUAGAAGUGUGAUAAAAUCAAUAAUGUUGACUUGUAUUAUUGCAUUAAGUAGUGCAUGAAAUGUAGGAUUCUAUUGUAAAAGAGAAUUAGAUAAAAUUGUAUAAAGUGCAUACUAAAAACUGUUUUGGAGGCUUUAAAGAAUUCUAUUCGCUUAAAAGGUAAGAGUCUACUUCAUCAGCUAAGGUUUACAAUGUAGGGUAAGUGUUCAAUCGAAUUAAGUGAAAAAAUUUUGAGUUUAUCGAGUUGAUGAGUCCUAUUUUAUCAUACUAACUUGAUUUGAAAUUUUCUCGAAUCGAGUCGAGUAAAAUGAAAUUCAAGCCAAAUCAAAUCAAGUGAAAUUAUUUGAGUUAAAUUAAAAAAUUAAACAUGUCAAAUUAAAAUCUUGUUAUAGUAUAACUAAUUUUAUGUUAGAGCACAUAAAUUUGAAAUCACAUAUAUUUGAAAACUUUUUCAAAGUAAAAUAAGAAAAAAAAUAAUUUAAUAUAAUAAACUUAAAUUAUUAAUUAACUUUUAUUUAAGUCCCCAAAAUUAUUAUUUUAAAAAAAAUUAAAUUUUUAACUUUCUUUAUAUACUUUAUAAUUUUUUUAAAAAAAUAUAAAAUUUGGAAUUUUUAUAAAUAUUUUGAAUUUUAAAAAUUAUUAUGAAAAUUUUGAAAUUUAUUUUGUAUUUUUUGUUGAAAGAGAUCAAUUUGCUUUUUUUUUUAAAAUUAAUAGGGACCAAAAGGGGUAUUUAUACCAAUCUAUUAUUCGAGUUAUUCGAAUUGUAAAAUUCAACUUGACUUGAACUCAGAACUCGAAUUACUUAUUCGAUUUAAUUCGAAAAAAUUGAAUAAGAUUCAAUUAACUUAGAAUUCGAUUUUUAUUUUAUUUUUUUGAUCAAAUCGAGUUUUGUUCACCCCUAAUAACUUGUUAGCAACUUAUGCAAGAAUUUUUUAAUUUUAAAAUAAAAGCUAAUAAGAUUAUUUUAUCUUGAUAUUAAAUGCUAUUUAUACAACAUAUAAAAGAUGGUGGAUACACACAGUUGGGGUAGACUUUUUGAGUGUUUCAUUUUUCGGGUUGAGGGAAUAUUUUGCAAGGUAAAUACACCUUGAUACCCUAGGUAUUAUUUGGAGAAUUUUAUUCACUUGUAUGCAAAGAUGUUUGCAAUAUGUGAUAAUAUUUUGGGAGAUUGGAUGCAAACAAUUGCAUACUAGUGAAACUACUUUUUAUCUACAUUUUGCAAGAUAGAUACAUUAUAAUUAGAGGUGUCCAUAAGUCGGAUUGGAUCCAAUCAAAAUUUUAUACCCAUUUGUCAGGCUAAAAAUAUUAAAAUUCGAGUCCCAUCUGGCCCGUUCGUAUUAAUUUUUUUAUAUAAUUUUUUAAAAUAUAUAUAAUACAUCAACAAUACUAAAAACAUUAAAAUAAAUGUUAAAAACAUUAAAAUAAAUGUUCCCCAACAAAUUGAAAAUAAAUUUACAAAUUGAUUAAUAAAUUUUAAAAAAAUAUGUAUACUUAAAUAACACUAAGAUAUGUAUAACUUAACAAGCAAAUACCUCUAGAAUAGUAACAAAAUUAAAAAUAAAACAACAGUAAUACAAUAUCCAAAUAAUAACAAUAAAAUAGUAGCAAUAUAAUUGUGAAAUGGUAGCAAAAUAAUGAAAAAGAAGAAGAAAAAAAAGAAAAAAAUUACAAUUCUUUUAUUUUGCAUAUUCGGGUCGGCUAUUUUCUAAACGGACCUUAUUUUUCAGCCAAAAAAGUCUUACCUGAGGCUCAACCCGUUUUCUAAACAAGCCUUAUUUUUUUGCCUAAACACAUUUUUCGGGCCUAUAUUUUUAUCCAAACCCUCCCACUUUUCAGGUCGGGCCACAUGUACAGGUUUAACCAUGAUAUAUUAGGUAUUAUUAUAAACUACUAAAUACUAAAUAAAAAAUAACAUUUAAAAUUAAAAAAAUGAAAAGAAAAAAAAACUUAAAUGAAUAUAUACAAUGUAACAAGGUACAUAAACCUACAUUGUGACAAGUGUCGCAACUUUAUUUUUUUAUUUAAUUUCUAUAUUGUUUAUCUAUUAAAUAAAAUUAAAAUAAUUUAAACACAAUUUUAUCUUAAUGUAUUACAAAAUUUAAUUAAAAUAAAUGAAAAUUGUUAUUUGGAAUAUAUGGAUUUUAAAAAUAAUAAUAAUUUUCAUUUAAAUAAAUUUUACAAAUAAUAUAUAAUGCUGAUUAUAUAGUUUUAAAUAAUAUUUUAAUAUAUGAAUUGUUAUCUACAUAUUUAUUUAAAUAUAUUACAAGAAUUAAAACUAUUUAAUAACAUAUUCAUCAUAAAAUAAAACGAGAAUUAUAAAUUAUUAUUAUUAUUAUUUUAAAAUAUUUAUUUAAAUAAAACUAUAUGAGCAUAGGUUGUAACAUUCUACAUAUUUAUAUAGGUAAACCAUCAUGAUAAAAACUAUUAUCAUAAAAUUUUGCACUUUUUAUUAUAUGAUAUGUAUAAAAUAGUUCAAUUAGAUAUGAUUAAUAAUAAUAUUUAUGCUCAUAAAAUUAUCAAAUUAUAUAUUACAAUGUAUUUAUAAUGGCUCAAAUAUUAAAUAAUGGUUUACGGGUUGUAAUAUAUAAUAGUUCAAACAUAUUAUAAAUUUGAAAUAUAAUAUAUAUUAUAUUGAAUUAUUAUUAAUAGUAGAUAAUACUGUUAUAAUAAUUUAUAGUAGUAAAAGUAAAGGGUGAGCUAACAAUUCAGUGUGUAACUCAAUCCAAACAAUCAGCACAAAUACAGAUACAGUAACAAAGAUGAAUAUAGAUACAGAUAUAAAUCCUACUUCAUCCACUACACACCAUAUUUGUUCAUCCCUAGACAUCAAUUAGAGUAUUAAAUACUCAUGCAACCUUACCCACCUAGAAGUGAGCGUAUGUCACUUUUCAGAACAGUGCAAUCAAGCUACCAGAAAUAAUGUAAUAAUCCGCCAGAAUUAGAUAAGUGUGGUCAAGCCAUCAGAACAAAUAUGUGGUUUAAACCACCAGAUAAGACAGAUCAUUAAAUUGUUAACACUUCCUCCAUCAUAUUAUUAUCCCACCUUAAUGCAUAUGCAAACAUUAAUCAGGUAACAAAUGCAUAUAUAUCAUACACGCUAUACGUAUCAGAAUAUACUAUCAUGCUUUUAGAAAUUGCACAAACAGAAUAUUAGAUUUCAUAUCUAUAAGUCAUACAUAACACAUUAUGAAACCUACAAAGUGGCUAAUCUCGAAUCGUACUUUAAAUACGGCCUAACUAAAUUUUAUAGAAAAUGAGCACACAUGCCCAUGUGACCCACACGGUCUGGCACACGGCCUCACACAUACUCAUGUGGCCCACAUGACCCACUUAACUUAGCCCAUGUGGCUCACAUGGUCGUGUGAUUUACACGGUCUGGCACACGGCCAUGUGGUGUCGACAAUGAAUUUUUUGGCUUCGCAUCGUUCAUUGUUUUUCGAGAUUAUCAUUACAGACUUGGUCGUUUUUCGAUACUAACACCACGAAAAAGAUUCCAGAACUUAAAACAACAUUUAACACGAACAAUUUAGCAACGAUACACUAAAUAUAAUCCAUUAAUUCAACCACAACCACUAACAUUAGGCCUUAACAAGCUGGAAAUCAGUCUUUUGGGCAUUCGAUUACUUACCCAGAACAGUAGUGACAGUCCUAAAAAUCUCCUAAUUCACUAGAAGGAUGUCACAUGCCUCACAAACUUCUCCUAUUGAAACAUCAAAACAAUCAAAAAAAUGAAUAUUGCAUAAUACUACAACCCCUAUUCGUCAUACGGAAACGAAUUAACCUUACCGAAGAAUGCACUUACAAGACUUACACUUAAACAAAAAUAUGAAUUCUUUGCUCGAACACGGCGCUACGGUGAUUACAUGCAAGAAAAUCAAUACCACAAGGAUUUAAACAUUGGACCUCUAGGUAAGCUGAAGUUUUACCACUAAAUCAACAAGCUCAUUCUUAUCAUUAAUUUAGCAAAAAUAAUAUAUAAGCUUAAUAUCCAAAGUCGGUGGUUGGGACAAAAAUAACAAAAAUUUAAAUGAAAGAAUUUGAACCUAGAACAUCACACACACUAACACAACACAUAACCAAUAAACUAAAUUAAUCACUUUAACAAUAUUUAACAAUUCAAAAAUAAGAAUUUUGAGACGUUGCUAAAUUGUAUCAUAUAUCAUAUAUCAAACUUACGAUACAUCAUUCAUAAAAAUUAUAACAAACUUACGAAAGGAUUUAAUGAUAUUUAAUUCUUAACGGGUAAAAACUUAUAUCAUAUAUCAUAUAUAUUUAUAUAUUAAGAAUUUGAAUCAUUAAUUAUAUAUCUAUAUAUUAUAAUAGUUUCAUCUUUCAAAUUUUCUUCCUCAUAAUUAAAGCAUAAGUUAUAUUUAUAAUAUCAUAAAUAUAUUAUAUUUCAAAAAUUUACACACAUAAUCAACCUAUACAUCGCUCGUGAUAAGAAAACUAAUUUAUAAAUAUGAAUGUACAAAAUUCGAGCUAAAUCUAGCUUCAAUUUUCCGGUGAACUUCUUUUGACUUUAAAUCUUACUUUUUCUUCUUCUUUUUGGCAAAAUAACUUAUUUGGCACAAAAACAAAAGUCGUUUUAACUUUUUUUUUCACCAUUUUUUAGCAUUUAAACUUGCAUUUUUUUGUUAAAUCACUCCAAAAUGAAUGGAAAAGUUAACAUUUUUAACUUUGCUGAUGUUUCGUACAUGUGGAUAACACAUCAACAUUUAAUAAAUCUUAAAAAAAUUAUAAAAACUAUUUUUAAAAUUUAAAAUAUUAAUAUUAUAAAAAAAUAUAAAUAUUUUUAAAAAUUAAUUAAAUGCUGAUGGGUCAUCUACGUAGCAAUCCAUAUGUAUGUCAUGUCAACAAAGUUAACAAAUAUUAAUAUUUUCAUCCAUUUUAGGAUGAUUUAACAAAAUAUAUAAAUUUAAAGACUAAAGAUGCGAAAAUAAUUAUAAGACCAAAAUGACUUUUUUUUUUAAUUGAAGGACGAAAUAAAUGAUUAUGUAAAGUUGUGAAUAUUAAUAUUACCAUAACAAUCAUAAUUCGCUUAUGGUUUAUUCAUUUUUAGGGUUUUCCUUACUAGGAGUCUAGGAUACUUGAAGGCAGAUAUUAUUAUUAUUAUUAUUAUUAUUAUUAUUAUUAAAUUUAAACAUAUUUUUUUAAUUAAGGAACAAUAAUUUGGUCCGGGUCGGUCCUUGGACAGUAUUGUAAUUUCCCAAGUUAUUAACAUUUGUUUAGGGUUUCUCAUAGUUAAGAAUUAAGUGGGCUAAUUUCCCAACUUAGAUUUGAUGAUACGAUUAAAAAAUAGGAAAUAUCAAAAUAUGAUCAUAUGAAUUAUUAAUACUAGUUUUUUUUUAUCUGAGUAAAUAGAUAAUUACUUGAAUCAAUUUAAUAAAAAUUAAUAUACUAAAAAAUACAAUUCCAUCAUUUUAAUAGUUUAUAUAUUUAUAAUUUUUAAAGAAUUAAAUUAAUAUUUUAUCAUUUUAGGGAGUUAAAAUUUAAUUUUACUAUUAUUAAUUUAAAAUUUUAUAAAUUAUAUGUACAUACCCAAUUUUGCCAAACCCAAAUACAUUUCAAACCCUUACUAACCCAAGUCUGUUUACAAUAUUUUCAGCCCAAUUAGCCUAACCCAAGUACUACUAGCCCAAUACCCUAAAUUAACCUAGCCCAGCAGCCCAAAACAAAUUAGCAGAGAGGAAACCCUAAUUCCACUUGCCUCCUUACUUGCGCCGCACGCUCUUCUGCCCUUGGCUACCACGCCCCACUUUCUUCUGACACCAGCACUGGCCACCUGCUCCACCAUGCCUCUGCCACCGCCGUUCGCCCAUACCCUGCAAAAUGAAACAAAUGCCAAGACAGAAGCAGACAGCACAAGCAGUAACAGAGAAUAAAACAAACAAUACUUUAAUAUGGGAAUCGGCUAUAAAGCCGAAAUGGAAAAUCUGUAAAAGGGGGGAUUUUUGCUAUGAAAACAAAGAUUUUCUUUCAAUUUUAACAGAUUGAAUACAAGAACCAUUCGAAAAUACAUAUACAAUCAGGGGCUCUAACACCAAAUCGGAGAAUCAAAUCUAAAACCUAAGGUGACUUUUCUUUCAUUUUUUCUUUACUAUUUUGAGUUUGUUUUUUACACAAAAAUACUAAAAAAAAUAACAAAACACAUAAAAACAUAUAUAUUAUUAAGCAAAAAAAAAGAAAAGAAAAUUUACCUUUUCCGGCCACCGUGCACGGUGGCCGACGCCGACGAGUCUCCGGUAACCGUCCGGCGACCGGACCCCUGGCCGGAGUCCCACCGAAAAUCGCCCUCUCCCUCUCCCUCUCCCUUUCUUUUCUUUUUUUUCCUUUCCCCAUCCCCAAAUGAAUUUUUUUUUAAUUUUUAACUUAUAUAGGGGACCAAAACGUCCCCCCCUUUAAUAAAUAAAACGACGUCGUUUUGGACGCGGGUCGGGUCGACCCAACCCGCACCAGGGCAGGAUCCGCGUGUUUCUUAGCGGAAGGGAAAUUUGCGUGCUCGGCCUUUCCGCUUUUCUGAGAUUUCACAAUUACGUUUUUUAUGUUUUGUAAUUCGGCCCUAGAAUUUUUCAUCGUUUUCAAUCUGGUCUCCGUGCUGCGCAACGUUUAGAUAGUUGGGAUUAUUUUCAAUUUUGGUCCCUCCAGGUUGCGCGUGCCUCACAUUUUGAUCCCUCCUCUUUGUUUCCUUUUUAAAUUGACCCCACAACAUUGUUUUUAAUUUAAUUUUAGUCCUUUUUCGUUAUUUUUAUUUCCUUAUUAAAUACUCUUAUUAUUUUUAUAUUAUUAAUUUUAUUAUGUAUUAGUUUAUGUUUUAUUAUACAAUUAUAUAUUUAUAAUAUGUAUACACGCUUAAUAUAUUUGUAUAUACUUAUAUAAUAUUAGUACUAAAAGUUUUUAUUUUAAUAUGUAUAUAUUACCUAAAUGUUUAAAAUUAUAUAUGUACGUAUAUUCUUCAUUAUGUUCUUAAUACUAUACUUUACAUAUAUCGUACAUUUUUGUUUCAAGUUUGCUUUCAUGUAUUGUUUAGUCAAAAUUGUUUUAUUACUCAUUUUAAAAUUGUUUCACAUACUUUGCUUUAAACAUUAUAUCUCUUUCAUAUUAUGCACGUCAUUUUUAACUCUAUAUUGUAUAUCACAAUCUCAUAUAUUAUGUAUGUACUUCUCAUAUUAUUAGUUAUGUAUAUAUUCUUUACAUUAUCUUAUGUACAUAUAUUUUUCAUAUUAUAUUAUAUACCUAUCCUUUUGAUACCAUGUUGUAUAUAUUUUCAAUACUAUAUUACAAAAAUUUUUACCAUAUUAUGUAUGUUAUGUAUAUACGUUUUAAUGUUUUUGUAUUAUCUUAUAUGUAUAUUUUAAUAACUAUAUGAGGUAUGUAUUUUUAACACCGUAUUAUGUACAUAACUUUCAACAUCAUUGUAUACACACUUUUUAAUACUAUGUUAUUUAUACGUUUUUAUAGGUAUCGUGUACAUGCUCUAAAUACCAUCAUGUAUAUAGUUUUUUAUUGUUACUAUUAUGUAUACAUAUAUAUAGUAUCAUUAAUAGUUCUAAUAUCAUGCUCCCAUCACUUUGCUAACUAUUAUUAUAUGUUUGUAUAUAUUAAUUCUUAUUUCGCGUUUAAUACUAUUGUUAACAUAUUUAAUAUCGCAUAUAUGGCCAUUGUUUUAAUAUUCUCGUCGUAUUUAUCAUUUAUUUCAACAUAUUUCUAGCCCUUCCAUUUGUUCACUUUUAUUUCAUAUCAAUUUUGCUUGGCAUUUCUUCGAAAAUCUUAUUCUCGUUUUCUAAUUAAUUUCAAUAAUCGAGGCAACAUAUCGACUUAACAUUAAGUCAUCGAGUUCAUCGCUAUGUUGGGUGAACGUCAAUUGACACGUGUUAAAGCGAUAUACCCUUCUCAAAAAACGGAAUAAACUAAAAUUUCUCGUUUUUUAAUCGGAUCACGACUAAAUUUUACAUUGAACCCGAAUUUUUAAAAAUCAAGACAACCUGUGUUUAUGAGAUACCAAUUUUUGGGCGUCGCGAGGGUGCUAAUACCUUCCUCGCGUGUAACCGACUCCCGAACCUUAAUUUUUCUCUGGCUUUUAACGUAGACCUAAACUCAGUCUUUUUCUCGUUUUUAAAGAAAAAAGAAAUUUAUUAGGUGUUCGAUCACACCUAGGAAAAAGGAUCGGUGGCGACUCCCCCUUUUAUUUCAAAAUCGAACUUCAGUUUCCAAACUUUUUCACUAGAUCGCCACAAUUAGCGACCCCGAAACCAAUUUUUACGUCGCUACAUUAUAAAUGAGACUAAAUAGAAAAUUUUCUAUUUUAAGAAGGCUCAAAGACCUUGCCAGCCUCCUUGACUUCACCAUUGAAAUCUAGAAUAUACUCCUCACUAUGCUUUGGAAAAUUAAAGAUUUGAAAUUAUAUUAUUGUGUAAUAGAUAUAAUUAAUUUUUAAAUAUAUAAAUAAAGUUAAAGUUAAAAUUAAAUCACUGUGAUAAAUUGUAUAGAAUAUAGAUGAUUUAAGACAUGAUGCAAAUAAAACAUAGUUAAAUAAUUAAUAUAUAGCAUGCCAUAAUAAUAAAGGUGAAUCUAGAGGGUUCACAGGGCUUGAUUCUCCUAAAAUAGAAAAUUAUUAUUUAGAUUUUUUUAAAAAAUUUAAAAUUUUAAAUUAAUAAAAAUAAAAUUGUACUUUGAUUUCCCUAAAAUUAUAAAUUUUUUAUUCAAUCCUUUUAAAAAUUAUAAAGAUAUAAACUAUUAAAAAUUAAAUUUUCAUUUGGCCCCCUAAAAAAAUAUUCUGGCUUCGCCCCUGCAUGAUAAUAAUAUUAAUACAACACAAAUACACAAAAAAAUCAAAAUCUAUACAUAACAAUUAUUUACUUGUAUAAUUUUAUAAUAUUUUGAAUACAAAGAAAUAACACAAACAAUUUUCUCUAAAUUGAAUCACUCAAAUAAAAUAUUUUAAAUAUCUCAUGAUUUUAAAAUAUACUAUAAGGAUAAUUUUUUAAAAAUAAUUUAUUAUGAUAAAUCAUAUAAAUUAAAUAAAGAAACAAUACUAAUCCAACAUAAAAGAAAUGUAAUAAUAAUAUCAUAAAAAAUAUGUUCUUAGUUAAUGAUUUAGUCUGUACUUUGAGAAUUAGAGAAAACUCGAGUUCGAGAUUCAAUUAUAUAUGAGAAAAGUAUUAACAACCUCACAAUAACUUAAUACAUGUUGUUUUAAAAUUUUGAACCCAGUAUUUAAAUAUGAUCCCGUAAAAUUUAAGAAUGCAUGAAAUUUAUUAAUUAAGUGAAUUUGAUUUUGGAAAUAAACAAAAUACUCAAUUUAAUUUUAUUAUAUUUUUUAAAAUUUACUCACAUUAUAACAUUAAGAACAACAAAUGAGAGCGUAUCCAGUAAUUUUGGCAACAAUCUCUUUAAUUUUCGUAAUGCUAAAAUAUUACCUUUUUUUUUAAAAUUAAAUCGAUGUAAAGAAAUUCAUAGGUGCAUUUUCAUAUAAAUAAUUGAAUUAUUCAAAAUUACAUGCAUUUAGAGAUAAAUAUUUUACCCAGCACUACGCUUGUUCGACUCGUAAAAGGCAAAAAUUAGGAUUCAAAAUUAAAUUAUAAUUUUUAUGAUAAUAAAAAUUACUUAGGACAUCAUGUUCUCAAAAACUCAAACCUUUAUCAACAUAGAAUUGAAUCGAAUAUCGUUUUCAUCUUCCCAAGUUUCUAUACAUAAACUAUGAACACGGAAUUAAACAAUACAAAAAUGGUAUUCUUCUUCCAUUGACAUUUGAUAUCAGCUUCAGAAAAGGCAAAAGACAAGAAUAAAGAGAUAAAACAAAAGAUUAAAUCAAUCCUAUAUCCUUGACUGACAUAAUUUACCUUAAAAACUCUAUACUUUAACCAAUCCCACCUAUAUGAUUUUUCUGUUUUCCUAUACAUAACUUAAAGCUUACUUGGAACCAAGUCAUUGUAUUGUAUUUCAUGUAAUUUUUUGAAGCAGAUCCUCAUCUCCUCCAUCUGCAUUGAAGGAAUAGAUGUCGACCGGGGCCACCGUGCAACCCAUGGCAUUCUGCUUGGUUCUUUUAUUACAAAAGGAGCCUCGGUGUUUGUCUAGAUAGAUUACAAUCACGGUGAUAUCGUCGUGAAAAUGGCGCCUUAUCCCCUUUUUUAUUUUCUUGAUGUCACUGUAUCUCAUCUCCCUUUUCUUUGCAACUUCUUGAAGUACAGCUCUUACCAAUCUCCUGGCAAUACCCUGCAAGCAUUCAAGCAAACAAAUAUCAAUAAUGAAAUGCAUUGCAUUUCCAUAGGUUUCAUUAGGUUAAUGGAAGAACACGAAUACUCACGGCUCUCGGGUUUUUGAAAACGAUGUUUACAGCAGCUUCAUCACUCAACUGCUCCCAUAGGCCGUCUGAUGCAAAGAUGAGGAAUUGAUCCUGUGGCUUAAGCUUUCUAAUAAGGAUCGUUCUGCUGUAAUAACCGGCCUUUUAAGAGGAACAGGGUUUCCGAACUGCUGGAAGAUCGGAUCUCUAUAAAACUCAGGUUUCUUCAGGUAAACAUCACCUAUAGAUCUUGACACCUGAAAUAAGAAAAACAAAAAUGGCUUAGACCAGCAUGAUCACUCACAUGCUCAAAGAUCAUGUAUUAAUCAAUCAUCUCCAGUUCUACAAUCCAAUGUAAGAUAAAAGCUAAUGCAUCUUAUUCUCUCGAUUCGUGAAUGGAUCGAAGUAAAAAGCUCAACUUGCCUACCAAAGUAAAGGGGAACAACAUCACAAAAAGAGAAGAAAAACAUAAAAACGAGAGAGCAUCGAUUCCUUGCAGUUACAUAAGCCUAGCUUUAUGCUUCAGGGGCCUGCAUUUGUCCAUCUCAUGCAUAUAAGGCAUACUAUAUGGAAAAUAGCAGCAUGAAACAGUACUGGAAAUCAGACCAAAAUAUUCUUGGAAAAGUCGAAAAACUCAGAAUUAUAACCAUUUUUUAGAAUGAACUUCCAUUCUAAUGCACAAUGUAUACAUCCAUAAUUAUACCUCUCCAUCAAGCAAAAAGAAACAAAAUGGUUGCAAGCAAUGCCUACGAAGAGGAAGUUAAUUGGCAACUAAUUCUAGAAUCAACAUAUUGAUCAUUUCUCAAGCAGACUAGUUUUGAACUAAACGAUUAUAAAUCAACUUGUCAAUAAAAUUGUACCUGGAUUAUGCCCUUAAUCUUCCAAACUCCGCGGGUGUAAACGACUAUAUGUGAGUCAUCUGGAUGAAGUUCCUCGACCUCCUUUCGAACUUCCUCGACUCCAACAUUAUGAUCAGUUGACAACCUCUCUGCCACUACUGUGUUUUCCUUAUCCCCCGAAGCUUUCCUGCCAAGAACAGCUCUCGAGUCACCGAGAUUCGCCACGUAUAACACAUCAUUCGAAAUUGCACCAACUAGACAGCAUGAUCCAACCGAAGCAAUUUGAGGCCUCACGGACAAUGAUCGCUUCACCAAACGCAAAAACUCCUCUUCAGUGGCAUUGAAUGCCUUCUUUAUCACAUCUGCAGAUAAUCCCCCUUGUUCUGUAGCAAAUUCUACAAUGAAUAAAGAAAAAAAAAUUUAAGGGUCUCCAUCAAUCUUUUUUAGAAUCCAAGUGCAUGCUUAUCACUGAAAAGUGUGCAAAACAAAGAAAAAUAAAUGACCUGAAAAAUGCCAAAACUUGAACUACACUUACUAAUUAUUCCGAAAAAUUCAAGUCCAGACAACCCCAAGUAGAUACAAAUUUAGACAAAUAGUUCAUAUUCUCUUUUCCCAUCAAAACAUAGUGCUACAUGACUGUGGAGCGGGGCAAGAUAGAUAUUGUCAAAUUCAUUACUGUUCCAUUGCUGGCAUGAUCUGCCUCGACCCCACUCUGCUUCGCCAUAAAUGUUAAAACUUGAAUAUCAUUACUUUUAAUAUGCAUAAUCUAUCAAUACCUCACCUAAUAUAUACAUUUUUACUCGUUUUAAAAGUUAAAUAUAUAAGAAUAGAGCAAAUAUCAAAAUUAAGUGCCCCAUUGGUCCCUCUUUUACUGUUAAAAAUUAGAAAAAGAAAGUCUAUUUGGAGUCAUCAGUUCGAAAUCUAUCAAACUAAAUACAUAUUUGAUGAUUCCAUAGACAACUUAUGAUUUUCCUGACAAGGUCAUAUCUAUAUACAUACAUGAUCACAUGUUCAUUCAUGUCAUACAUACAUAGGAAUGUUGAAAUAAAGAGGGAAAAAGGGAAUUACUGUGGAGAAAAGGGAAGAGAUGUUUGUUAACAAAACGGGAAGCUUCCGGACCGCCAUGACCAUCGUAGACGCCAACGUAGGUAGCAAAAGGAGAGGUGAAGACUUGGCUUUGAUCUUCGAGACAGUUGUUAGCCUGCACGACGGCGAUGGAGAAAUCACCGGAAGCGUGGGGUUUAAGGUCAGCGUGCCACAUGAGAGCAUCCCCACCAGCUCUAACGCCAAGACAACGUUCGAGCGGCCUGGAAAGGGACCGUAACAUCAUCAUCAUCGUGUUUAAAAAAUAAUAAUAAUCCCUUUAUAGGGGAUUUGAUUAAAUGAAAACCUUUUCGAUGGUUUCAAUGGGGGGUUUCACUUUGGGGGAGAGGAAAAUGGAAAGAUAUUAAGAGGGAAAGAGAGAGUAGAGAGUGGGGUAAAGUGAAUGGAAAAGAAAUGCCGCGUAAAGAGAGGCAGAUGAUGAUGACCAACGACCCCCGAUGCUUGCUGUAAUUACUUCCCACUCUACGCGUUAACCACCCUUUUUCUUCUUUUUUGACUUUUAAACCCAAAUCCUUUUCUUUUAUUUUUAAUUUAUUGAAUGGAGACACUUAGGUCUAAUUUAAUAUUUCAAUUUUUAAAGAAUCGUAUCAGUGAUUGAAUUAUGUAUCUACUUAUUCUCGAUUUAAUCGGUUAGUUUAGCUCAAUUUAGGCCUGUUCAGAUUAUUCAACUUAAAAAUUUGUUCGAAAAGUGAGAUGAUUUAGGUAAAAAUAUAUGUUUAAAAAAUAAAUUUUAAUAAAAAAAUAAGGUAUAUUUUUUAAAUAGAUUGAGUCUUAAUAUUUUUUUGUUCAGGCUCAACUUGAUCUGGCUCAAAUUUGUAAAAAAAAAAAAUGUUGUUACUUUGUCAUUGUUUUACUGUCAUUUCGCUAUUAUAUUAUUACUAUUUUAUUGUUUUUGUUUAGAUAUUGUAUAAUUAUUUUUUUAUUGUUGAUUUGGCUACUAUUUUAGAACCAUUUGCUUACUAAGUUGCACUUAUAUCUUGGUGUUAGUUAAGUAUAAAUAUCUUUUAAAAAUUUGUUUUCAAUUUAUUGGGAAACAUUUAUUGCUCCAACUGACCUAUGGAUAGCUCUAGUUCAAUCCUUUUGCCCGAAUUGAUAUAUCAAUUGAUUUAUUGGUUCAACUAAUUCGAUUAGUUGAUUUUAUUUGAUUUGAUUCAAAAACACUAAGUGUUAUUUCAAGUUUAACUUAAUUUAUAUUUGUGUUGAUAGUUUAAAUUAUUUUAAUUUUAAAUCAUUCAAAUUCAACACUUAAUUUUUUGGGUCAGAUCGUUUUAGGACUAUUUCAUAUUAUAAUUUUAUAAAAAGGAAGUUGAACUGAAUAAUAUUUAAGUUUUUGAGUUGAAAUUCAAAUCAAUGUUAUUAAAUUGGGUCAUAAUUAAUAGGUGUACUAGAAUCUAAUUACAAAUAUAUAUCUAUAAGAUAAAACCAAAAAUAAAGGAUUAACAUCUGACCAAGUAUUGACAAUGCAUUGUUAUCCACAAAUUUAAUUAGAUACAAAACAAGAUAAACACUGUAAUGUGAAUUUCGUAUGUUAACUUAACGGUUAGGAUAUUCAUCGCUUCAAAUGUGAUUUGGGAUUGAGUCACAUUAUCUCUAAUAUGUCCUCUACCAAAGAAAAUGGAGGACUAAAGUUUGAAAUCUUAUUUAGUAUUUACAGCCAUGAUCAAUUUCUCUUUAUGAUCUCCACCCAUACAAUAAAUGUGAAAAGUGUAGCAGUACGAAUACCAUGUUUUUAUAGGGGCCGCCAUUCAAGAAUAUAUUACUUCCUCUGAACCUGACACUAAGGCAUGGAUAGCAACUUACAAUGUAUCAAAUUAAACACUAAAAUUAAACUCAUAUAUCAAAUUGAGAUUUAAAAAAAAACACUCAAAUACAAAAUUUGACAUUAAAAUCAAACGCAAGUACCGAAAAAUAUAUUAAUCCAUAUUCAUAAACCUUUUUCUUUGUUUUUGCACCCGUCAAAAUUCCAAGACUUACAUAUCUCUAAUUAAGAGCAUCAUCAUUUACAAAAAUUAAAAAAUUAAUCCCUCUACUUUAAUUUGUUAUAAUUUGUCCCACGUAAGUUAUAACAACCGAAAAGUUAAUCUAAUUAAGUAAUAUUGUUAAACCUUAUCAUUGAAUUGUUUGUUUGGAAACCAGCAAUUUAACAACUUAUAUGCAACAAAUUAACAAAACUCAUUUGUUCAAGUUCAUGUUUUGAAUAACACCUGGACUAAAUUUCCAAUUUUCAUAUGCUACAAUGACUAAAUUUUGACAAAUUAAAGUAGAGGGACCAACUUCUCAAUUUUCAUAAAGUAGGGGAUGAAAAUCAUAAUUAGACCAUGUAUAUGUUCUAUCGUGUGAGUUGGGGCCUGUUUUAUAGUAUACUUCUACAGUAAGGACAGUCCCCACACGUUCUGAGCCAAGGAUCUAAGCAAGCAAAGUGAAACCUGUGCCCACACGGCAGCUGAGUAAGCACAUCUCCUUCUCCGAAGCUUUCAAGGCAUAUACUGCAAUCUCUUGAUUCCCUUGAUGUCUUCCUUUCAACAUUGAUGUCUUGGCUGCGGAAAAUUUCCAGCGGCAAACGGUCCAGAGCCUCCUGAGUAAGUCCAGGAGGCUUCUUGUUUGUUUCUCGUAACAAUUCGAAUCUUUCUGCUUCAGAGGUUAAUGGGGAACCCCUAGCUGCCAACCCUGUAGAGAGUUCACUUAUGAUCCUAAAAUCAUCGCGCGUUACAUGCUCCCGGUGGGAAGCAUUAGGUGGAGCUCUAUUGCUUCGCCUGAAGAAAACAACAGGAAGAAACCGUAAUGAGAGGGAAAAGAAAAGAUGUACAAAAUGUUUAAAUAGCGGUUAAUGCAGGACCUAACAUAUAUGUGUCCAUUAUUGAAUGCCACGUGCAAGUAAAAUUCAGGAUCGAGUGGUCCACAUGCUUCUCUCAAGCAGUAGAUGGUAGUUAGGAAACGAGUAACACUAAUUCGCUGUGUACAUGAAGUGGUACCAAAAGUGGUCUGGAUAGUCAUAGUGGCUAAUGAUGUUACUACUUAGAACCUAUGUUACUCAGAGUCAGGCAUGAGUUUCAGAUAUGGAUAUGUAUCCAGUACAGGUAUAAUUACUUUUUCUAAGUUUUUCCAUAUAUUUAAAAGAUCCUUGGAGGUCAUAUCCUCGUAUUUGUGUGUCAGACACGAGUGUCAAAUGAAGAGUCCGAGCAACAUAGCUUAGAACCACUAAUAUUACCAUAGAAUAGGAAGCACCAGCAGUGGGACUGGACCAUAUUGAUAGUUAGCAAUGCGAGAACAACAGGCACUAAUGGGCAGAAAGCACCAAUAACAGCAGUGGGCCUGGAAAUUAAGGUACUACUGGUAGGUAAGGAGUGACGAAAGCAAUAUCAGCUUGAAUGUAUAAGCAGAAGUGGGACAGAAAUUUCAAGCAUAAAAACAAAAAUUCAAUCUAUUCAAGAAUAUAUACAUAUAGAGCGAGAGAGAGACUAAAUUCAACUUAAACAUUUUCAAGGAAAAAAAGAAAAAGCCUGCCGAAAUAUGAUGAUUAUGUUAGGCAAUUCCAUAGAAGAAAGUUCAAAUUCACUAGUGACAACCCACCCAACUGACCAGCUGAAAAGUCCAUGGUAAGUUGGAAAAUAGUUUGGACCGAGUGAAAUUAGUCUCAACAUUAACUGGCUACAACCCCUAACAGCUCUACCAUAUGAUACGGUAUCUCUAUUCUUACUGCUAAACCAAGUCAGACUCCUAGUACCCCUAAUACAAGACUACAUAUUUAUCAUUUGGAUUCACUAAUAAUAAGGUAGCACAAUGAACUGCAAGGCACUGAUUCUUCCUACAGGUUACGAUGCAAAUUGCUCAUAUGAUAGACACUUCUUUUGAUCAUAUUGCACCCUCAAUAGAUCCACAAAAUCAAAGUUCAAGAGCAAAAUCAUUCUGAAUUUAGGUAAAACUUUCACAGACACAGAGCUCCACAUGACUUGUCUAUCCUAUCAUCAAACUUCAGAAAUAAGUAAUAGAGAAGAGAUGUGCUGUGCUGUGCUGUCUUUAAAAAAUGAAAUUUGUGACAGACCAAGAAUAGUGGGAUAAAUUUGGUCCAACUUGAGUAGCAAAACAAAUUGAGUGCCACAGGCAAGUUCACCAUCAAUGAUAAAAGUGGCUUCCAAUUGGUGUCAAAGAUCAUGCAGAUAAGAAAGAACAUGAUUCAAUAGCUAUUAUAAUUUACUUGUUCUUGCAGUUUGACCAGUAAUAAUGCUGUACAUAAUACAUGGACAAGAAAUGCAAAUACUAAAAGUUGCAAAUUUGCAGAGAGCUCUAGGUAACCUGUUUGCAGAAACAGACACGCCUCUUAGUCUUUCAACAAGCCUUGCUCUUGCAAGCAGCACAGCUCCAGGAAGCCUCUCAUUUGCUCUCAAACUUUGCCUGCUUGAACUGCUUACACCAUCUGCAUUUAAUCCAUAGCUCGAACUGAGCUCACCAGUACCUUCAUCAAACCCUUCUCUAGCAAGCCUCUCACUUGAUCUCAAACUUUGCCUUCUUGCAUUGCUUACACCGACUGCAUUUAACCCAUUGCUCGAUACAAGCUCGCUGGUACCUUCAUCAAACCGCACUGAUGAACGCUCCUGAAAAAGUAAUAUCCAAAUAUAAGCGAUUCAGGCAAGGAGAAAUAAAUUACAUAGACUAGGUAAUAAUAUCAAACUUCCUUGUUUAUUCUUGUAUAUGUGGCAAAAUCUUACUGCAAGUGAGCUUAGGCUUUGCUUGGUACCAAAGAUGGAAAGGAUGAACAUGGAAAAUUUGUUCAUCAAAUGUUAAGAUUCAUAUCCACCUUAUUACUUUGUAACUUAACCAUCAGAUAAACAAUUUUCCAAUUCACUCCUUUCCGUCGUUCAUAACAAGCAGAGCCUUAGGGUUUAGAAAAAUUGUCAAGAAAAUACCUAUUCUUCAGUAAUUUCACUGAUAAAUUUAGCUUAAAACUAAUAAUUUUCAGAGCAAAGUUCAGUAUUGAAGCAUAAAACAGACAACGAAUAAAGUACCAAUAAAUUGGUUGAAAAUCCAAUUCUUAAAUUAAAAAUAAAAAAAUAAAUAUAUUUUCCCUUCCAAAAAUAAUACUUAAUUCACCCCCAUUUUUCCUUUAAGUUCUCUUUUUUCUCAGCAAUAAAAUAAAAACAAAUACCUAACAAGAAAUAAAUAAUUUGAAAAAAAAAAGGUAAAAGAGAAAUUGAGCGCACAGAGAGCGAGGAAGCACGGGAGCUGAAGUGGCGCACGUGGGGAGACCGGCGGAGGGAAUCACCGCCGUCCAAAUCAUGCCUCUGAUUGUGAUGACUGAGAUGAUUCCGGCGAUGGUAAUUCCGUUCAAUUGAGGACCCAAUCCCUGAAUCCGGAUCGGGUCGACCCACUCUUGACCUUCGUGUGUAGAAUAACUCCGAAGCGCUUGUCAUCCAACUAAAACCCCCAAAUGGUGUUUUGAUCUGAUCUUACCAAUUAAAAUUUAUUUUUAAUUUCUCCAAAAAAAAUUUAAAUAAACAUGCAAAUUGUAAUUUGGAUUAAGAAAUAAAGGAAGAGAAGCUGAUGAACCCUACGAAGAAACGCGGGAGAAAUUCCUGCGAAUGAAAAUCGAUAGCCUUAGCUUCAAAGGAAAUGAAUGGAAAGGGAUGUGCGUUUUUUUAACCCUAAAUGGUUUAAUUCCGGUUUUAGUCCCCCUCCUAAGCUAAAAUGUAAUAUUUAAUCUUAUAUUUUAAUUUUAUAUACUUUCGUCUUUGAUAUUAAAGAAUAAUAUUUGAUACACCGCAAAUACAUUAUCAUCGAACAAUAACAUGAUACUUGAGUAUAAACAAAAUUAGUGAAAGAAUUAUCAAUAAAUAUUAACAAUUUUAUUUAGUUUUUUUUUUAUUUUUAAAUUUCACAUUUCGAAUUUUAGAUAUAUUUAAAUAAAAUUAUUAAUAUUUAUUUAUAAGUCAUUCAUUAUUUUUUAUUUCAUUAGCAUUGAGGUGUCGUGUUAUUAUUCAUUAAUGGUUGACGAUUUAUUUUUAUUAAUUUUUAUCAUUAUAACGAUGAUGUGAAAUCUUUUAUUGACAAUUUUGUUAUGGUCAAGGUAGCCAUAAUAUAUGUUUUUUAAUACAAAUUCUGGAUAAUAAUUAGUAAUAUUAAGAAAGUAAAAAAAUUAAAUCAUGUUAAAUUAAUCGAGGUUUAAGGGUGUAAAAGCUCUUCAAUUUUUUCAAAAAAGCAAUUAAGUCUUUACUUUUUUCACUCAAUUGAGUACUUUAACUUUUAAAAUGCAUAAAAAAGGACCUUCAAACUUUUUCAAAAAAAAUUAAGCCCCUACUUUUUUUUACACUCAAUUUGGCACUUGAACUUUCAAAAUAUAUAUAAAAAAAAACCUUCAAGCUUUUUCAAAAAAAGCAAUUAAGCCCAUACUUUUUUUUUACUCAGUUGAUUGGGUAAUUAAAUUGUCAAAAUGCAUAAAAAAUAACAUUUGAUUGUUAACUUUAACAGUUAACCGUUAAAAUUAACUGCCCCUAAUUUUUUUCAAUUAAAAUCAUCCCGUGUCACAACCACAACAUGACAUAUGACAAAACAAUUAUAAAAAAUAAAAAUCAAUACAAGUUAUAAAAAGUAUUAAACUUUAAUAAAAAUAUAAAAUUUAUUAAAAUUGUAAAAUUUUAUAAAAAUCAUAAAUAAUUAUAAAAUGUAUCAAAAAGGCCCUUUAACCAUCAAUUUUUACCGUUGACUGUUAAAGUUAACGACCCCCAAUUUUUUUCUAAUUAAAGUCAUCACGUAUCGUAAUACAGUGUGGCAUGUGGCAAAAAUGAUAAAAAAAAAUAAAGAACAAUUAAAGUUAUAGAAAAAUUAUAAAAUGCUUGUUUAAAAAUUAUAAAAUACUUCUUUUGGUACGAUAAUUUUUAUAUUUUUUUAUAAAUUUUAUAUUUCUUUACAUUUUUUUAUAAUUUUCUUACAAUUUUUAUAAUUGUUUAUGAUUUUUAUAAUUUUUUUUCUAAUUUUUAAUAUUUUUAUAUUUUUAUUAAAAUUUAAUGAUUUUUUAUAAAUUUUAUUUAUUUUUAAUUUUUAUCAUUGUUUUGCCACAUUUCACGCCAUGGUUGUGACACAAGAUAACUUUAACUGAAAAAAUUAGGGUCAGUUAACUUUAACGGUUUGAUUAUUAAAUUUAACAAUCAAAGGGUCUUUUUUUUAUGCCUUUUGGCAGUUCAAAUACCCAAUUUAGUGUAAAAAAAAUAAAGGUUUAAUUGAUUCUUUUUUUAAAAAAAAAGUUUGAGAGUCUUUUUUGUGCAUUUUGACAAUUCAAGUACCUAAUUGAGUAAAAAAAAAGAACAAGGGUUAAUUAAUUUUCUUGAAAAAAUCUUGAAGAUUUUUUACACCCUUAACCCAUUAAUCAACCAACUGUGUCAUUGAAAUUUGAUGAUUUGGGAAAAUAUCUUGUGAAUAUCAAUUAGAGAAAUUAAAUCUGAAUUUCAAUAUAUUAGAGGGACUAAACCCAGAAAUUUACCGUGAAAAAGAAAAGGUAUAUCUUUAUGUGUUAGUUGAAGGACUAGUAUUUAGAUGUAGCCACGCGUUAAACAAAGUGUUCCAUUACAUCAACAUAGAAUUUAUUUUCCUUCAAUAAGAUUUUUUGCGUUGACUGUUGACCAUGGAAAAACUAUAAAUCAAAUUAUUAAUUGAAAAUGAUAUAUAUUCCUUCAAUGAGAAUCUUUUUAUUACCUUAAGUCGAGAAUUUGAUUCUCACCUUGUAUAUGGAGUAGUUUUAGAACUCGUAACUUAAUAUCUACCUCUUAAUAGACCUACAGAAUAGAAAAGAUUAGUUACUAUCUAACUUCAAUAAAUACAUUGAAAAAUAAAAAAAAUCGAUAUUAAAUGAAAUAGACAUAAUAGAUUUCUAAAGUCAACUUUGGUCAAUAUAAAUAGAAAAACUAAAUGAAAUUUGGUUUAGGUAAAUUUUGGGUUCAGAUUAAAUUUAAAAUUUAGUUAAUUUUUAUUUAAGUUAAUUAAGUUUGAUUGUAAUUUUUGAAGGUUUGGUGAUUGGGAUUUAGAUUAUUUCGGGUUAUAAUUACUUUGAGUUUAAGACAUUUUAAGUUAUUUAUUCGGGUCAUGUCUAAUUAUUUAUUUGAAUUGUUUCAAGUUUGGAUUAAUUUGGGUCGAUUUCAUAUUUAGGUUAGACAAAUCAAUUUUCAAGAUAUGAACUAGAGUUGUCUAUAAGCCAAGUCACCUAGUCUGGCCCGAAGGCUCGUCGGCAAAUAGGAGGAUUUUAACAAAAAAAUAUAUGUCCAAAAAUGAGAUUGGACAAAAAAUAAGGCUCGUUUUAAAAAUGGGUCGAGCCUCGGGUAAGGUAUUUUUUUACCCUGGCCUGACCUAGAUUUUACAAUAAAAAAAUUGUUGUUUUGCUACCAUUUCACUAUUAUGUUGUUUCAAUUUGUUGAAAAAUAUUUAUUUUAAUAUUUUUUGUGUAUUAUAUUUUUAAUUUUUUUUUAUAUAAAAAAAUUAAUAGUGUCAGACCAUACCCGGGUUUUAGUAUUUUUAUCCAAGCCAGGCUUGGACAAAAAUUUAAGCUCAUUUUUUUGGGCCAAAUUGGGCCCAAAAAUUUAUCAGGACCAACCUAAUUCGACCAUGGACAAGUUUAUAAAAUAGCUAUUUAUAUAUAAAAAAAAAAUUGUCCAUGAGCUAUUUACUAUUUAGAGUAUUUAAAUAUGUCGAUUGAGAUUUAAUUCUUUUUAUUUUGAGAGGUGGAAUAAAAUAAUUCAAUUAAAGUGUAAUGAUGAUAUACCUAUAAUGCAUUAUAUGUCCCAUUCUUCUAUCUUUUUAGGGAGUCAAUGAUUAUUUAUAGCUAUUAUCUUUAUAUCAAAAAAACAAUUCGACUCAAUAAUUAACUACUUUUGCUAGAUUGAUUUUUGAUUAGAUUAAUAUGUUUUUAGUCAAUUUAAAUUUUAAAAAUUUUCAAAUUAUUUCAAUUUCGAUUAGUUUUAACUUUAGAUCAAUUCUUAUUCAAUUAUAUUUUAGACUCAGAAUUAAAUGGAUCGAAUUAUCAGAUUUAAUGAUUUGUAUGUAAAAUUUUAUUUAAAAUAUUUUAAAUACCACUCUAACACAAUUACAUAAUUCAUAGAUUAUAUAAUUUGAAAUUAUCAUUACACACCACCAUUGAUAAUUUCAGCUUGUAAGUCCUAAUAUUUUAUUCAAAUUUCAUAAAAACCCUUCCUUAUCUCCAUGACUAAUUUUGUUUGAUCAUCACAUAUUUGCAUGGGAAUAGUGGUCAUCAUGAACCGAAGACUCCGGUUUAUCAACACCGUCGACGCUUCGAACCCAGAAACUUGAACCGAAAGAAGCCGCCCGGUCCGGAACGUCAUCCAUCACCCAUUCAUGGCCUUUCGGGAAAUAUAUCCCACUCUUUGGAUGUGGAACCCAACUCGAUGAACUUUUUAUAUCGUCGUUACUCUUGCACUUCUUAUUGAUCUCCCGAUCUGCGCCUGCAAUUUUGCUCAAUGGUCGCUCAACGCGUUUUGCUUCCCUACACCCGAAUAAAGUUUCCAAAAGUCAAACAUAUUUAUUAAGUUCAUAAUGAUUUGCCUCUAAAUUUUGUACUUUUGUAUGGUUUUUUUUUGGUAAAAAUUUUAAUUUUUGGCUUUUCUAAAUACAAAACAAAUUUCAAAUUUCAUUUUUGACCAAACAAAAACAUCUCAAAAUCAUGGCUCAAACUUUAAAACGAUCCCUAAAUUUUAAAAUGUUCUAAUUGAAUCUUUAAAAAUAAAGUAUACCUAAAACACGUUUUAAAUAUGCUCUACAUCAAACAUAAACUAACAUUUAACACCCAGAUAGACAGCGAGAGUGACAAAAAAAACUUGGUUAAUACGAUACUAAUAUUUUUAGGACCCAAUUAAACCAUUUUAAAAUUUAAUGACUAAUUUAAAAUUCAUUCUAUAGAUUAAGAAAAUCUGUUGUAAUCAACCCAAAUAAUAACGACAACAUUACGUACCUUAGCAUCAAAAUCUUGGUUUUGGUAAAAGCAGCUCUUCCCAUGCAAUGCAGCUCUUUAAAACCCCUCAAAAAAGGACUCCAAUGCAAUUAUCUAGGACUUGAUCGUUUGUUUUAUAGAAUGCUUUCGAAAGUGCAGUUUUUGUACUUCAAAUUGUAUCCGAACGAAUGAAUAAAGGUUUGACGAAUAAGUUCGAUUGUGAAGGUCCUAAGAAAAUUAAAAUUUUAGAAUAUUAUAUUUCGGAAUUUCGUCUUUUUAUUUUAAGAAAUUUAAUCAUUUUAUAUUUUUCGGAUUUAAGUAUACAGGUCCAAUUAUUAUUAAAAGUGAUUCGACUAAAAAAUUAAAAAAUAUUUCGAAUUUCAAGUUAAUUGAAUUGAGUUAUUCGAUUUUUUCGAGUCAACUAGAAUAAGUAAUUCGAGUUCGAGUCGAGUUGAAUUUUACAAUUCGAAUAACAGAUUAAUGUGAAUACCCAUUUGAUCCCUGUCAAUUUUAAAAAUAGGUAAAUUUAUCUCUCAACAAAGUUUACAAAAAAAAAUCAAAAUAAUUUUCAAAAAAUUUUAAAUAUAAUUUUUAAAAUUCAGAAUAUUUAUAAAAUAUCAAAAUUGAUAUUUAAAAAAUUUAUAAAAAUUCUAAAUAUAAAAAAAAACUUAAUUUUUUUAAAAAUAAUAAUUUUUGGAAAAUUUAACUAUUUAAGUUUAUCAUACUAAAAUAUCUUCUUCUUUUUUUUCUUAUUAUGCUUUGAAAGAAUUUUCAAAUUUAUAUGUUCUAACAUUGAAUUAGUUAUAUUGUAACAAUAUUUUAAUUUGACAUUUUUUUUUAAUUUCACUUGAUUUGGAAAAUAUUCAAAUCGAGUUAGAAUGAUAAAAUGGGACUCGUCAACUCGAUUAACUCAAAAGUUUUUCACUUGAUUCGAUCGAAUGCUCACCCCAAACUAAUAUCAUAAAAAUUCUUUUGUUAAAUUUAGAUUCGUUACAAUAUUAAUUUUUUUAUUUUAUGACUAUCAAAUUUGUUUUUUUUUUCUUUUCAUUUCAAGGUGUCACAGUAAUGAAUUUAAUAGAAUAAUUUUAACAAUAUUAACAAUUAAUUUUUUUUUGACAUUUAAAAAAUAAAGAAACUAAAUUCUUAAAAAAAAAACCAAAUUUACGAAGAAUCAAAUUGGAAAAUAAAGAGAUAAAUAUAUAUUUUUUGGUGCUUAUGUUUAUCUUUGAUUUUAAUUUUGCUAUUUAUAUAUUUUUUUUUCAAAUUGGUACUUAUGUUGUUUUUAAAUUACACAAAAUGGUAUCAAAUUUAUUAUCUGACGUAUGGAAUGAUGAUGUCAUAAUAACAUUUGGGAAAUUAUAAAAAUUUAUAAAAAAUAUGUAUUAAAAAUUCAAAAUAUAAAAAAUUAUAAUGUUUGAUACCAAAUAAAAAUAACAUAAAAAUCAAUUUUUUUUAUAUAUUUUCAUAUUUUUAUAAAAAGAGUAUCAUUUUUUUAUGAAAAUAUAAAAUCAAUUAUUUUUAAUAAAAAUAACUUUUUUAUAAAUUUUAUUAAAAAUUUAUAUCAAAAUCAUGAAAAUAUUCAUCAAGUCACAAAAAAGAAUUACAAUUUCUUACCCGAAAUAUAUAUUUUAUAUUUCCAGAAUUUUUUAGAUUUUUUUUAUUUAAUUUUUGGAUAAUGACAUCAUCAUCAUCACAUAUUAAAUAAUUAUUGGACCACAAAAUAAAAGUUAGCAUCAUUUAACUUAGGUACCAUUCUGUGUAACAGUAGUCAAACGUGGGUACCAAUUUGAAAUAAAAAAAAGGACCAAAAUGAAUAUUAAGAUCAAAUACAUGUACUAAAGAAUAUAUUUAUUUUUUCAUUAAAAUAGUUUAAAUUAAAUUAUUAUUUUUUGAGAGAAGUCAAAAAUGAAAAUUUUCAUUUAAAAAGAAUUAAAAUAUUAAAUUUUAGGAGGGUCCAAGGAACCAAAGCCUCUAACUGCCGUUAGUUUGCCAUUGUCAUUAUCAAUUUACUCGCCCUGAGAGGAGUUUAGCGGCGAAGCUUGGGGAUAAUUUGUGGCCUUGACCCUCUUAAAUUUAAAUAAUUCAAUUUAAUCUCUUUCAGCCCAUUUAUUAAGGAGAGGUCAACUUCUUUAAGAAAAGUUUAUGAAGUAUGAUUCAUUAAAAGCUAGCGAACAUCCCAAUAAAUCGAUAUUAUUUCAAUUGAAUUUUUUAUCUCCCAAUUUUACGAAGAAUUAAUGGGUUCACAAAAUGAAUAUAUCUUAUUAGAUGUCUAAUAAGACAAAUCACAUACAUCGCAUCGCACUUGAUAUCAUAUACGACAUCGAAAAGCUAGUAUAUUACCACUUAAACUAAACACCUAUUUAUUAUGAAAUCUGUUGCUUCGAAUAAACGAGAAAUAACAAAUUUCUCCCGAAAAAAUCGGCCCCUAUCGUUUCCUCUUUUUCAAAAGUAAAUCUUAAUUCGCUCAGGUGAUUUGGAAUAUUGAGAUUUUUUUAGUGAAAAGAGUGGCAAGUUGGUGUGACACCUAAGGUCACUUUAACAUAUAGCUCUAAAUUCUAGAGACACUGUGAAUCGUUACUUCAGCAUAUGCCUCUUGUUUUUUUUCCUUCUUUCACCAGAAUAUAUUCAAUGCAAAGAACUUAUCUCUUACACAUUUGAUUGUUGGUUAAAUUCGAGUUUUAGUCCCUAUAUUAUACUUCCUUCCUGUUAUCGAUGUUAUACUUUAGUCUAAAUCCAUAAUAUCAACACAACUCCAAAUUCAUUAUAUCAUUUAAACAUUAAAAUUAUCUAUUUAACUUGUGAUUUAAAUAAAAAUUAAAUUAUGGUAUAACCACGAUGUGGAUAAAAAAUAAAAUUAUGUGUUAAUUAUAUUUGUAAAAGAAUGAAAUUUUAAUUAAAACGAUAAAGUUUAAAUUUACUUUAUAAUGCAAUGAUAUUUGAGUCAUUAUCCAAUUGAAUUAGUGCCUAAUAACUCGUAACACCAAUUUAAUUAAUUAUGCACAACAUUAAGUUUUAUUAUCUUUCUUUCUUUAAUAGAUUACAGUCAGUUACUUAAAAAAAUUACAGUUAAUUAUUAUUUUAUAAGGUAAACUAUCAAAAUAGUCAUUUUUGUUUCUCUCAUAUUACAUUUUGGUCACUUAUGUUUGAAAUGUUAAGUUUUAGUCACUUACAUUUAUCGUAUUAUAACAUUUUAGUCACCGAGCGUUUAUUGCCGUUAGCAAUAUAACAAUAAAGCUGAUGUGACACGUUAAAUCAUCAAUUCAAACGAAAAUUUUAAGUUAAAUUAUACAAUUGGUCCCUAUUUAUUUUGAGCAAUUUAUUUUUUUAUAUUCUUUGAAUUUUCUUUUUUCUUUUUUAUUUUCCGUUCUCUUCUGUUUCUCCCUCUAUUUUCUUCCAUUCCCUGUCUUUUUUAACGUAAAUUUUCUAUGUUUUUCAUUUCUUAAAAUUUAUCUAUUUUUUUUCUUUUAUGUACUUCUACGUUAAAAGAUAUGGAGAAGUGGUGAAAAUAGAGGGAGAAGUAG